AUGUUUGGGCUACGUCCACACUGUAAGAGAAGAGAAGGGAGAGGAGAGCCUCGGUGGUGUGAUGACUCUCUCUCAAGGCUGUUUUCAGCUCUAGCCCUUAGAAAUGAGGACUUCAGCUCUGGUUUAGAAUGAGGGGGAGUCCCCUUUUAUAGAAUAAGGGGCUCCUCCUUCUUUACAUUUGUCGUGGGCUUAAUGUGUGAGGCCCAAAUACGAGGCCCAAGGCCCAAAUACGAGGCCCAAAUAUAUGGUACCAACAGGAGUCCCCCAAGUCUUCAGUCAAGAGAGUCUUUUGGCUGGAGACUUCAAAUUCAGUCCAUGUGUGGGCCGAAGUGACUGGAUGCUGUCUUGAAACAAUACUCAACAUGAGUCAACGCUUAACAUAAAGUAAUACUCAGCUAGAGGUAGCACACGUUACGAGGUUGCCCGGCCGGAGGUGAUGCCCGUUGCGAGGCUGCUUGGUUAGAGGCUUACGCUCGCGGUGAGAACUUGCUUGGUUAGAGGCUUAUGCUCGCAUCGAGAGGUUGCUCGGCUGGAGUCGAUGCUCAUUGCAAGGUUGCUCGGUAAGAGGCUACGCUCGCAGCAAGGCGGCUCGGCUCGUGGCAUUCCUGGUUGCAAGUACGUACUUUAUGUUAACGUGUACUCAGUAUGAGUUGAUUCUCGACAUGACUAGGGUCUGUAAGUUGGGUUUGAUUUUGUAAGUGCCCAACAUGAAUGGUGUCUCAGCCCGUGGGUGUCCAAGCAAGUGGAUGUCUGGUCAGGCAAGAGAUCAAUGUUGAUCAGUAGAGCUGGUUGCUCGAUAAUUCCUGACAAUAAAUGAC
rnacentral:sRNA from 1 species